rnacentral:rRNA from 1 species
UACGAAGGGGGGUAGCGUUGUUCGGAUUUACUGGGCGUAAAGCGCACGUAGGCGGAUUGUUAAGUCGGGGGUGAAAUCCUGGAGCUCAACUUCAGAAUUGCCUUCGAUACUGGCUUUCUAGAGGCUGGAAGAGGUUAGUGGAAUUCCCAGUGUAGAGGUGAAAUUCGUAGAUAUUGGGAAGAACACCAGUGGCGAAGGCGGCUAACUGGUCCAGAUCUGACGCUGAGGUGCGAAAGCGUGGGGAGCAAACAGG